rnacentral:rRNA from 1 species
UAAAGUGGCGACCGGGUGAGUAACACGUGACUAACCUACCUUCGAUGGGGGAUAACAUCGGGAAACCGAUGCUAAUACCGCAUAAUAUCGCAAGAUCAAAGCAGCAAUGCGCUUGAAGAGGGGGUCGCGGCUGAUUAGCUAGUUGGCGGGGUAACGGCCCACCAAGGCGAAGAUCGGUAGCCGGCCUGAGAGGGCGCACGGCCACACUGGAACUGAAACACGGUCCAG